UGGAAAUUAUUCUUAUUGAACUUCUCUGAAGAGUUUUGGCUGGAAAGAAGUAUCUUUUCCAAUGCCAGUACAUUCUCGGCGCUCCUUCAACUGGCUGAAAAAUGAGGUACGGACUUUUACUAAGUUGUCAUUUGGAAGAUCAACUCAGGUGACUGGUUUAUUUAUAAAGGAUAAAAAGCAAAAACCCAAUGAGGAGAUAUGCAGGACAAGGUCCCCAACAAAGGAACUUCUGUCCGCAUGGAAUGUGGGACCUGGCCAGUGGCACACAGAAGCCUUCUAGUUCACCAACCUGGAAACCCCGAAAUCCCAUUCUACUGGGAUUCUUAUGGAGGCUUUCUCAGAUCUCCAGGCUCACAAUACUACUGAUGCCUCCCAAUUUGUGGAAGGACUCUCUCUCUUCACACCUCCUAGUGUUUGCAAGAUCUGUGAAAAAUGAAUUCUAAUGUAAAGCUUGAAAUACAUAAUUCAGCCAGAA